AAUGAACGUUGGCGGCGUGGAUUAGGCAUGCAAGUCGAGCGAGAACCCAGCAAUGGGGGACAGCGGCGCAAGGGACAGUAAUGUGUAGAUUAUCUGCCCUCGGGUCCGGGAUAGCUGCGGGAAACUGCAGGUAAUACCGGAUAACAUCUCCGGAUCAAAGGUGUGAUUCCGCCCGAGGAUGAGUCUGCAUCCUAUUAGCUAGUUGGCAGGGUAAUGGCCUACCAAGGCGAUGAUGGGUAGCGGGUGUGAGAGCACGACCAGCGUCAUUGGGACUGAGGCACUGCCCAGACACCUACGGGUGGCUGCAGUCGAGAAUUUUCGGCAAUGGGCGCAAGCCUGACCGAGCGACGCCGCGUGUGGGAUGAAGGCCUUCGGGUUGUAAACCACUGUCAGAGGGGAUGAAAUGCAGGUGGGUUCUCCCAUCUGUUUGACAUAGCCUCAGAGGAAGGACGGGCUAAGUUCGUGCCAGCCGCCGCCGUAACAC
rnacentral:rRNA from 1 species